GCCAAUAGGGCUGCAUACAGCAGGCUACUUUGAUAUAGUAGAUUGUGAACUAUUUGUUUCAUUGGUA
rnacentral:tRNA from 1 species